ensembl:lncRNA
UGAUAUGAAGUUGCAAAAUGAUUUUCCUGGCAAAUCACUGCCACGGAGUCAAAAUCAAUUACCAUCCAAAAAAUCUGAAAAGAUUCCAGCCAUAACAGGUGAACCUGUAGUUGGAAUUGGGCCUGUCAUUGACUAUAAAGUUGGAAUUCAAUUAGAAAAACCAAUCCCCCAGAACGAGUGUUCCAAGGAUAUGAAGUUGCAAAAUGAUUUUCCUGGCAAAUCACUGCCACGGAGUCAAAAUCAAUUACCAUCCAAAAAAUCUGAAAAGAUUCCAGCCAUAACAGGUGAACCUGUAGUUGGAAUUGGGCCUGUCAUUGACUAUAAAGUUGGAAUUCAAUUAGAAAACCAAUCCCCAGAAGGAGUGUUCCAAGGAUAUGAAGUUGCAAAAUGAUUUUCCUGGCAAAUCACUGCCACGGAGUCAAAAUCAAUUACCAUCCAAAAAAUCUGAAAAGAUUCCAACCCUAAUAGGUGAACCUGUAGUUGGAAUCGGGUCUGUCAUUGACUAUAAAGUCGGAGUUCAGUUAAUAAAACCAGUCCCCCAGAAGAUGUAUUCCAAGGAUAUGAAGUUGCAAAAUGAUUAUCCUGGCAAAUCAGUGAGUCAAAAUCAAUUAGCAUCCACAAGAUUUGGAAAGAUUCCAUCCAAAGGUGGUGAAGCUGUAGUUGGAAUUGAGCCUAUCAUUGACUAUAAGAUUGGAGUUCAAUUAGAAAAACCUGUCCCCCAGAAGGAGUGUUCCAAGGAUAUGAAUUUGCAAAGUGAUUCUCCUGGCAAAUCACUGCCACUGAGUCAAAAUCAGUCACCAUCUCCAAAAUCUGGAAAUAUGCCAUCCCAAGAAGAUGAAGUAGCUGCAGCUGGAAGUGAGCCUGUCAUUGACUCUAAGGAGGGAGAUCAUUUAGAAAAACCAAUCUCCCAGAAGCAGUGUGAACCAUUUCUAGACAAAGAGAAACAGAAAGAAGUAAAGAAAGACUUGAAACAAGAAUUGAAAUUGAGAGGACCAUCAGAAUUACCAGAAGCAUCAUCUUCUUUGGCAAGUCACUUAAGUGAUUCUGUGGAAAAAGAAAAAGAUAAUUUUCUCAAUGUAGGAGAUCUUAAGUCAUUUCCUGGAAAAAGGGAAGAUAGUCUGGAAAAUAUCUUUUUACAGAAUUUAAAGAUCAACUUCCCAAAAAAUGUUUUACAAUUCUCUUCCCAUAUGUGCUCAAAAAAGAGCACCCCACAGUCUAAGAAUAAGCCAAAAACUGAACAUACUUGCAGUAUAAAUGAAGAGAAAAUUGCUUAUGUUGCAAAAAAUAUAAAAAAAAAUAACUCAAAAUCAGGCAUAAAUGAAAGAAACGAAGAUAGCUCAUUUGGUAUUGAAAUGACAUUUAGUCAGCACAAAAAUAUCACAAGUUUAGAAUCGGAUUCAGAUUUGCUCCAAUCAAGUGAUCCAGGAAGUUAUUUUGGUGUCGCAUCAAACAACCAAGAAAAAAUGCCUGAACUAAUUACUUCGAGAAAACAUAAGGAGAAAACAAAGCAUAUAGAAACCUCAUUCCAGAACAGUCAUCACAAUGCUACUAACUCACCAAAUGAGUUGGAAGAGAAAAGGCAAAAGCAUCAACAGAAUAAAACGGAAACACUGGAGAGACAAGAUGGUGAGAAAACUGAAAACAGAAGAGCUGUCAAAGCUAAUGAGCAAUUUUCAGUGGAGCAUGGUAAAGAUGAGGAAAAUAAAAUUCCUGGGGAAGAAAUACCAUUAAUGAGUAUUUCUUCCGAGGAAAAAUUAUCACCUAUGCACCAUAUUUUAAAUGGCAAUUGGAGAGAGAAAUUAAUGCAAAAGCACCGGAGAAAUUCCUAUUCUUUGGAAAAGUUUGAAGAAAAGGAAAUCAAAAUAGGGGAAAAUUUUAAAAAGCCUGAAGAUGAGAAAUGGAUUUCCGAGGAUUCUAGUAGUACAACUUGUGAAAAAGUGAAUUCUUCUAGCAGCCUACUCGAUAGUUGUGAUGACAGCACCUUAAAUGAGACAGAUUCUGAUGAAUUAAGGUAAUCUAAUACUGGACUAGAUCACAGAAAAACAUGAGCAAUGU